GAAAAGAAAUCAACCGAGAUUCCCCCAGUAGCGGCGAGCGAACGGGGAGCAGCCCAGAGCCUGAAUCAGUAUGUGUGUUAGUGGAAGCGUCUGGAAAGGCGCGCGAUACAGGGUGACAGCCCCGUACACAAAAAUGCACAUGCUGUGAGCUCGAUGAGUAGGGCGGGACACGUGGUAUCCUGUCUGAAUAUGGGGGGACCAUCCUCCAAGGCUAAAUACUCCUGACUGACCGAUAGUGAACCAGUACCGUGAGGGAAAGGCGAAAAGAACCCCGGCGAGGGGAGUGAAAAAGAACCUGAAACCGUGUACGUACAAGCAGUGGGAGCACGCUUAGGCGUGUGACUGCGUACCUUUUGUAUAAUGGGUCAGCGACUUAUAUUCUGUAGCAAGGUUAACCGAAUAGGGGAGCCGAAGGGAAACCGAGUCUUAACUGGGCGUUAAGUUGCAGGGUAUAGACCCGAAACCCGGUGAUCUAGCCAUGGGCAGGUUGAAGGUUGGGUAACACUAACUGGAGGACCGAACCGACUAAUGUUGAAAAAUUAGCGGAUGACUUGUGGCUGGGGGUGAAAGGCCAAUCAAACCGGGAGAUAGCUGGUUCUCCCCGAAAGCUAUUUAGGUAGCGCCUCGUGAAUUCAUCUCCGGGGGUAGAGCACUGUUUCGGCAAGGGGGUCAUCCCGACUUACCAACCCGAUGCAAACUGCGAAUACCGGAGAAUGUUAUCACGGGAGACACACGGCGGGUGCUAACGUCCGUCGUGAAGAGGGAAACAACCCAGACCGCCAGCUAAGGUCCCAAAGUCAUGGUUAAGUGGGAAACGAUGUGGGAAGGCCCAGACAGCCAGGAUGUUGGCUUAGAAGCAGCCAUCAUUUAAAGAAAGCGUAAUAGCUCACUGGUCGAGUCGGCCUGCGCGGAAGAUGUAACGGGGCUAAACCAUGCACCGAAGCUGCGGCAGCGACGCUGAUGCGUUGUUGGGUAGGGGAGCGUUCUGUAAGCCUGCGAAGGUGUGCUGUGAGGCAUGCUGGAGGUAUCAGAAGUGCGAAUGCUGACAUAAGUAACGAUAAAGCGGGUGAAAAGCCCGCUCGCCGGAAGACCAAGGGUUCCUGUCCAACGUUAAUCGGGGCAGGGUGAGUCGACCCCUAAGGCGAGGCCGAAAGGCGUAGUCGAUGGGAAACAGGUUAAUAUUCCUGUACUUGGUGUUACUGCGAAGGGGGGACGGAGAAGGCUAUGUUGGCCGGGCGACGGUUGUCCCGGUUUAAGCGUGUAGGCUGGUUUUCCAGGCAAAUCCGGAAAAUCAAGGCUGAGGCGUGAUGACGAGGCACUACGGUGCUGAAGCAACAAAUGCCCUGCUUCCAGGAAAAGCCUCUAAGCAUCAGGUAACAUCAAAUCGUACCCCAAACCGACACAGGUGGUCAGGUAGAGAAUACCAAGGCGCUUGAGAGAACUCGGGUGAAGGAACUAGGCAAAAUGGUGCCGUAACUUCGGGAGAAGGCACGCUGAUAUGUAGGUGAAGUCCCUCGCGGAUGGAGCUGAAAUCAGUCGAAGAUACCAGCUGGCUGCAACUGUUUAUUAAAAACACAGCACUGUGCAAACACGAAAGUGGACGUAUACGGUGUGACGCCUGCCCGGUGCCGGAAGGUUAAUUGAUGGGGUUAGCGCAAGCGAAGCUCUUGAUCGAAGCCCCGGUAAACGGCGGCCGUAACUAUAACGGUCCUAAGGUAGCGAAAUUCCUUGUCGGGUAAGUUCCGACCUGCACGAAUGGCGUAAUGAUGGCCAGGCUGUCUCCACCCGAGACUCAGUGAAAUUGAACUCGCUGUGAAGAUGCAGUGUACCCGCGGCAAGACGGAAAGACCCCGUGAACCUUUACUAUAGCUUGACACUGAACAUUGAGCCUUGAUGUGUAGGAUAGGUGGGAGGCUUUGAAGUGUGGACGCCAGUCUGCAUGGAGCCGACCUUGAAAUACCACCCUUUAAUGUUUGAUGUUCUAACGUUGACCCGUAAUCCGGGUUGCGGACAGUGUCUGGUGGGUAGUUUGACUGGGGCGGUCUCCUCCUAAAGAGUAACGGAGGAGCACGAAGGUUGGCUAAUCCUGGUCGGACAUCAGGAGGUUAGUGCAAUGGCAUAAGCCAGCUUGACUGCGAGCGUGACGGCGCGAGCAGGUGCGAAAGCAGGUCAUAGUGAUCCGGUGGUUCUGAAUGGAAGGGCCAUCGCUCAACGGAUAAAAGGUACUCCGGGGAUAACAGGCUGAUACCGCCCAAGAGUUCAUAUCGACGGCGGUGUUUGGCACCUCGAUGUCGGCUCAUCACAUCCUGGGGCUGAAGUAGGUCCCAAGGGUAUGGCUGUUCGCCAUUUAAAGUGGUACGCGAGCUGGGUUUAGAACGUCGUGAGACAGUUCGGUCCCUAUCUGCCGUGGGCGCUGGAGAACUGAGGGGGGCUGCUCCUAGUACGAGAGGACCGGAGUGGACGCAUCACUGGUGUUCGGGUUGUCAUGCCAAUGGCACUGCCCGGUAGCUAAAUGCGGAAGAGAUAAGUGCUGAAAGCAUCUAAGCACGAAACUUGCCCCGAGAUGAGUUCUCCCUGACUCCUUGAGAGUCCUGAAGGAACGUUGAAGACGACGACGUUGAUAGGCCGGGUGUGUAAGCGCAGCGAUGCGUUGAGCUAACCGGUACUAAUGAACCGUGAG
rnacentral:rRNA from 1 species